UACUCCAAUAAACCCUAAGAGGGUAACUAUGAAGGCGUGGAGGGGUAGACGAAUCCCCUUCUCCAGCAGAGUAGUCGGCAUAGCGACCCAGCCGUCUGGUCGCUGGUACAUUCGCUCCUCAGCAGCUGGAGCCCUCAUAGCAAAGUUAUCCGGAACAUGGUAUCGAAUCCGGAGAGCUCGUAAUUCAGAUUCAGAGACGGUGGAGGUGAUGUUAGC
rnacentral:lncRNA from 1 species